rnacentral:rRNA from 1 species
UACGGAGGGAGCUAGCGUUGUUCGGAAUUACUAGGCGUAAAGCGCACGUAGGCGGCUUUGUAAGUUAGAGGUGAAAGCCCGGGGCUCAACCCCGGAAUUGCCUUUAAGACUGCAUCGCUUGAAUCCGGGAGAGGUGAGUGGAAUUCCGAGUGUAGAGGUGAAAUUCGUAGAUAUUCGGAAGAACACCAGUGGCGAAGGCGGCUCACUGGACCGGUAUUGACGCUGAGGUGCGAAAGCGUGGGGAGCAAACAGG